rnacentral:rRNA from 1 species
UACGAAGGGUGCAAGCGUUACUCGGAAUUACUGGGCGUAAAGCGUGCGUAGGUGGUGAGUUAAGUCUGUCGUGAAAGCCCCGGGCUCAACCUGGGAAUGGCGAUGGAUACUGGCUCGCUAGAGUGCGGUAGAGGAGAGUGGAAUUCCCGGUGUAGCGGUGAAAUGCGCAGAUAUCGGGAGGAACACCAGUAGCGAAGGCGGCACUCUGGGCCGGAACUGACGCUGAGGAGCGAAAGCGUGGGUAGCAAACAGG